ACAUGCAUGUAUUUUCAGGGAACUUGUUAAAAUGCAGAUUAUGAUUCAGUAGGUCUAAGAUUCUGCAUUUCUAACAGGCUCCCAGGUAAUGUGGAU
rnacentral:pre_miRNA from 1 species